rnacentral:rRNA from 1 species
GCUAGCGCUCGUGUGCGACGAGUCUCAUCCGGUAGAGCGAAUGAUUAGAGGUAUUGGGGUCGAAACGGCCUCAACCUAUUCUCAAACUCCAAACGGAUGAGAACCCCGGCUUGCUUAAAAGUGAAGCCGCGGGGAGUCAAUCACGGAUCAGAGCGUUAAGUGGGCCAUUUUUGGUAAGCAGAACUGGCGCUGUGG